rnacentral:rRNA from 1 species
GAGGAAUAUUGCGCAAUGGCCGAAAGGCUGACGCAGCGACGCCGCGUGAAGGAUGAAGUUCGUUAGAAUGUAAACUUCUUUUGUAGGGGAUGAAUGUGCCGGUUUCCGGCAUUGACCGUACCCUGCGAAUAAGGAUCGGCUAACUACGUGCCAGCAGCCGCGGUAAUACGUAGGAUCCGAGCGUUGUCCGGAUUUACUGGGUGUAAAGGGCGUGUAGGUGGGUCUUUAAGUCGGUGGUGAAAGCCCGCAGCUUAACUGCGGAAUUGCCAUUGAUACUGGAGGUCUUGAGUACGGCAGAGGGAAAUGGAAUUCAUGGUGUAGCGGUGAAAUGUGUAGAUAUCAUGAAGAACACCGGUAGCGAAGGCGGUUUCCUGGUCCGUAACUGACACUGAGGCGCGAAAGCGUGGGGAGCAAAC